CAAAUUAAUUACCAUCUGUCUUGGUGUUCUCAGGCUGCCAUGGCAAAAUAUCACAGACCAUCUUGAAGAACAGAGUUAUUCACUGGAGGCUCACAAGACUACAGUGAACGUCUGCUGGAACUGGGUGUCUGGAGGACCUUCUCCUGCGUUGUAGAGGUUACCCUGUCCUCUCCUUUCAUGGGUGUGUGUCUGCUGGAGCUGACAGAGUAUUUUAUCACAGCAGCGGAACAGCAAGAAAAGAAACUAAGACAGAAGUGCACUGUGGAGAAAGCAGAAGACAAGCCGCUUGAUAGAGGGAAGAGCAAAGCCCCAGGGCUGGGAUCUGUGGAGACUCAGUGAUGGAGAGUGGUCAGAGCGGAGGUUUCUAGGAGCCUCAGUCCAUGGAUUGCCUGUAUCGUGGGAAUAAGUGCACAGUUAUG
rnacentral:lncRNA from 1 species